AACGAACGCUGGCGGCAGGCCUAACACAUGCAAGUCGAACGAAGUCUUCGGACUUAGUGGCGGACGGGUGAGUAACACGUGGGAACGUACCUUUUGGUUCGGAACAACUCAGGGAAACUUGAGCUAAUACCGGAUGAGCCCUUAGGGGGAAAGAUUUAUCGCCGAAAGAGCGGCCCGCGUUAGAUUAGCUAGUUGGUGAGGUAAAGGCUCACCAAGGCUACGAUCUAUAGCUGGUCUGAUAGGAUGAUCAGCAGCACUGGGACUGAGACACGGCCCAGACUCCUACGGGAGGCAGCAGUGGGGAAACUUGCGCAAUGGGCGAAAGCCUGACGCAGCCAUGCCGCGUGAAUGAUGAAGGUCUUAGGAUUGUAAAAUUCUUUUACCAGGGACGAUAAUGACGGUACCUGGAGAAAAAGCCCCGGCUAACUUCGUGCCAGCCGCCGCCGUAACAC
rnacentral:rRNA from 1 species